rnacentral:lncRNA from 1 species
GAAUCUCAGGGGUUUUAGAAACACACAAAGAAUAUAAAAUAUUCAAGAAAACACUCCAGAAUCAAAGGGCAUGAGUUUCAGAUUGAAAGGGCCACCAAGGGACCAACACAAUAGGUAUAUCACUGUGAAACUUCUUAACACUGGGGACAAAGGAAUCCUACAAGGUCACACACAAAGAAGGCUCUGGCCUUAACAGCAGCCCUGGAAGCUUGAAGACAAUGGAGCCACGCUAUCAAAGUUCUGAGACAAAGUGACUUCUUAUCUAGAAUUCCACACUUCAUCAAUCAAGGGUUGGACAUUUUCAGACAUGCAAGCUUUCAAAAUAUUUCCCUCUCAUGAACUCUCGGGAAGCUCCUGGAGAAUGUAUGUCAUCAAAAACAGGGAAGAAAGCAAGAAAUGAGAAGACACAGGAAAGAGUGGAAACUAGAGAGUUUCUGCUUCAAGAUGUUGAAACGGAGACUCCAAGAGGAUGGUUUCUGAGCGUGAGUCCUAGCGUCAGCUACCAUCAGCAGCAGCAGCACAGCACGGAGCCAGAUCUCGGGCGCAGACACUCAUGGAGAGGCCACAGUUUAAUCAGCAAGCUGAGGCAAACCGUGUUUCAGGAGAAUUCACAAUAUAAGGGUUUUGCUGGUUUGGAUCCUGGGUGUGGAGUUAGCACCACUCGUGAUGCCAUGCUGAGGUG